rnacentral:rRNA from 1 species
GACAGAGGGUGCAACCGUUGUUCGGAAUUACUGGGCGGAAAGCGUGUGUAGGCGGCUACGCAAGUCGGAUGUGAAAGCCCCGGGCUCAACCCGGGAAGUGCACCCGAAACUGCGUGGCUCGAGUACCGGAGAGGUUGGUGGAAUUCUCGGUGUAGAGGUGAAAUUCGUAGAUAUCGAGAGGAACACCGGUGGCGAAGGCGGCCAACUGGACGAGUACUGACGCUGAGACACGAAAGCGUGGGGAGCAAACAGG